CACACUUUUAUUCCAGAAGCAAAGCCAAACAGACCUCUGAGCUCAAGGUCAAUUGACAGAGCAAGUUCUAGGAAAGCCAAGCUUAGGCAGUGAGGGAGUUGGAAAACAGAAAGCUGACAGUAGAAUAAAGGGGGCCAUGUUCCAGCCCCAGCAAGCAGCAGAACACGGCAGCUUCAGCCAUGUGGCUCUGUCUUUAGAGUGAAAAAUAGAAGGGUGCUACUGGGACAGCUGACGCUGGUGAGCUGGAGAUAAGAAACUGGCAGUGAUUGUGAAGAGACCAGCUGAGGUGAAAUCAUCUGGGAAGUGUUUUCUGAGAGCACAAAGAAGCUGUGUUCCAGAGAUGGCCAAGGGUGUACCUCAUGCUGCAGCUGGACUUGGUAAUGUGUAAGAGUCACCCGGUGGUACUGGUUUUGAAGGCAUGAAGGGGUCAUGAAGAGCAGCUGAGGCUUGGCACUGUGAGGGGCCAUUGGUGAAGGUACAGCCUCCGUUGUAGUUGAUGGCUCAGGACUGAAGGGGUCAUGCAAAGGAAUGAGGCUUGGCACUAUGAAGAAAGCCUCUGAGAGGCUAUUGGUGAAGCCUAGUUGGAACAGAAGACCCCAGUGCAUUGGCGAUGUCAGCACUAUGGGAUGAUCACCAAGGGCAGCAGCGGCAAUGGAGUGGAUCAACCUGAGCUUAGAGAGCUACAGAGAGCAGAGCUAGAGAAGUGACACCAGCCCUUUGGAGGAGCCCAGAAGGUCAUAUGUGGAUUGCAGACACCGAUACGAGAAGCUGCAACACUGAAGUUGCCUUGGAGACCCCAAGAUUUUCGAGAUGCUAGAGCCAUAGGAUAUCUCCUGAGGAAAGCUGCUAACAGGAAGUGGAACCAGCCCAGGAAAAGCAGUUUGUUGCUUCAUUAAAGAUCAAAAAGGAGUUGGAGGUUUGAACGCUGCUUUGACAUGGGACAUGGAGAUAGGAGACACAGAGUUUGGAGUCUGCCCAGCUGGCUUCCUGUCUUGAUUCAUGGAUUACAGUUAAGUGACUGAAUGGAUCUCAGAAGAGACUUUGAACUCUGGACUUUUAACAUUGUUGAUGCUGCUAUAGACUAUGGGGACUUUGGAAGUUGAACUAAAUGUACUUUCUGCUAUGGCUAGAUAUGGUCAUUCCAUAGAAUCAAGUGUUUGAACAAGUCUAUGGGGGCCAGGGAAUGGAAUGUCAUGGUUUGAAUAUGCUUGGCCCAGGGAUUGGCACUAUUUGGAGAUGUGGCCUUGUUGGCGUAGGUGUGUCACUGUGGAUGUGGGCUUUGAGAGCCUCAUCCUAGCUGCCUGGAAGUCAGUAUUCUGCUAUCAGCCUUCAGAUGAUGUGGAACUCUCAGCUCCUCCUGCACCAUGGCUGCCUGGAUGCCACCAUGUACCACUCUUGAUGAUAAUGGACUGAACCUCUGAACCUGUCAGCCAGCCCCAGAACCAACUCUUUAUGACCCCACCCUUCAGCCUCAGCACUGUGACUGCUCCAAACGAGAGGAGAGAACGAAAGCCAACAUGUCACUCGAUUAGUAAUUGAUGGAGCAGAAGUUCAGAUUCAGGAGCCACGGACUUGGAUACCGAGAUGGAAACCAAUGCCUUCUGCUAUUUGAUGUGUCAAGAAACGCGUUCUUUUAGUAACAGCAGCCACGCUGUUCCUAAUGGGAUGAAAACACCUUUAAAACCUCGUCCAAACGGCGAUGGGGAUCCACAUGCCUCAUUGCCUGAAGGGUGUCCGUGGGUUUCUAACUGAAAACUCUACUUACAGUCAAGGCUGCCGUUUACCCUGGUUUUAUACGUGAGGAAACUGGGCUCCUGGAGAGCUAGGUAGCUCGCUUCAGGUCAUAGCUAUGGUAAACGGUCAGCCAGGACUAUGAAUCAAAUUCCGUCAAGAUGUGACUCUUUACUGCUGAUAGUGCGCCAUUGCUCUGUCUUAAUGAGAGGUGUAGUUAAUGGUGGGUCACUUACAGCAAGUGGCAAUAGGAUACACUCAUAGGACUCGGACAGAAAUGGAUCUACAUCUCAUUUCUGACGUAAGGUGCUUAGCAUCUCCCGUGACACCCUUGUCCACCAGGCCAUCCCCACAGAGCUAUGGUGACUGGAGGGAUGGUGUGAUGAGACAUUCUCAGAACUUGUUUAGCAGGUGACAGAUCCUCAGGAAACAGAUGGUGCCUCCGAGAGACGGUCAUGCUUAAUACCCAGGCUAACAGACAGAAUCUUAACCCAGGCCAUUAGAUUUCAAACCCAACUUCUCUACCGCUAGACCACUGUCUCAGCAAAGGUGUGUGCGUUCUCUCAUGACAUCAGUAAAUCUGCGCCUGCUUUUACACAGCCUCUCAGUUCUACUGUAGGUCUACUCCAGACUGCUUCAUGUGCUUCUGAACCCAAUAUGGAUACCACUGGGAAGGUUACAUACGUACACAGAAGUAAGUUCCUGCCACAAGAUUUAAACAGACGAUUAUGAUAUGCCAGCCUUAAGACCAAAGGUACCCACGGAGGCCAGACGAGAGCAUCAGAUCCCCCCGGAGCUAGAGUGAUGGGUGGCUGUGUAUGUGGAACCAAUUCUGGGUCUUCUGGAAGAUCAGUAAGCACUUUUAACCGCUGCGUCACAUCUCUGUGUCCUUACACUUGUGAUUCUUAUCUGUUCAUUAGUAGCCAAGAACCUGAAAAGAAAAGGCUGGUCCUAGAAGCCUAUUCAUCUGUAGAAAUAACUGUCUCUCUUGCCAAAAGCAGACAGGAGAGACAGCGCUAACUGGGAAGUGGUCAUCGGGUAUGGGAUGGGGGGUGUUUUUACGAGGGAGAUGCUGCAUCGUUUAAAUGUUGGUACGAAGGAGCUGGUAUAAAGCUGGAGGGGAAGGCAUCGAUGGAGAGAGGUAAUUGAGAAACUGUGUUCAGGAAACUGAAGUAGUGGGAUUCUCAAGGCAACUGAAGAAAGGCUUGUGUGAUGCUCUUAUGCGUGCAUAUGGCUGGGAGCCCCAGGGCUUUGUGUGUGUGGGUUUAAAUCAGCCUGUAGAAGGAGGCAGGGUGUCUGCUGAGAGUUAAAGGGACGCUUGAGCAGCCGUAGGCUUAAGGAGAAACGAUGACCUUGGAAAGGCCCUGUAAUGAGUAAGGGGAGGGACUACGAGGCCUGCCAUGAGGCUGUUUAGCUGUGAGUGGUGAGCUCCCUGACUGGAUUUACUGAUGCACGUCACUCCUCUUAUGACUUUCUCCAGCAAGGUUCAACUGCUUAGAGAUAGGCACAGGACUGUGAGCGACAGGGCCUCUCUAGGAGUGGACAAUUCCUAGGUAGGUACAAUGAAAAUUUAGUGGAUUUCAAAAGUUGUA